rnacentral:lncRNA from 1 species
GGGCGUUAGCCUUCACCAUCAGCUGGGGCGAGGAACAGAUCUAAAGUCCUGCUCUGGGAGGCAGAGGCCUGGGUUCCUGGCACAGCUGUACUACGGAUCUGCUGUACUACGGAUGUGACACUCCUUUCCGUGCCUCAGUGGACUCAGCAGCACGCUGCGGGCCUGGGCAUAACGGUUCCAGGGGCGGCCUUCAGGGAAAGAAAAGGCCAGCCGAACUCUAGGAGGCCAGCUAACCUGCUCCCACGUGGCCUGGGGCUGCCCUCCCAGGUGGACGCACAGCUCCUCCUCUGAAUCCUCGGGAUUCUUCCUCCUUGACCCCCAACUCCUGGAAGACCAUGCAGAAGGCGUC